rnacentral:rRNA from 1 species
GACGAACCGAGCGAACGUUGUUCGGAAUCACUGGGCUUAAAGGGCGCGUAGGCGGGUUCUCAAGUCCGGGGUGAAAUCCCACAGCUCAACUGUGGAACUGCCUCGGAUACUGGGGGCCUCGAGGGUGGUAGGGGUAUGCGGAACUAUCGGUGGAGCGGUGAAAUGCGUAGAUAUCAGGAGGAACACCUGCGGUGUAGACGGCUUUCUGGACCAUAGCUGACGCUGAGACACGAAAGCGUGGGUAGCAAACAGG